UUGAACUGAAGAGUUUGAUCCUGGCUCAGAUUGAACGCUGGCGGCAUGCCUUACACAUGCAAGUCGAACGGCAGCACGGGGGCAACCCUGGUGGCGAGUGGCGAACGGGUGAGUAAUAUAUCGGAACGUACCUUUGAGUGGGGGAUAACUAGUCG
rnacentral:rRNA from 1 species